rnacentral:rRNA from 1 species
CACGUAGGGUGCGAGCGUUGUCCGGAAUUAUUGGGCGUAAAGAGCUCGUAGGCGGUGUGUCGCGUCGGCCGUGAAAACCUGCAGCUUAACUGUGGGCGUGCGGUCGAUACGGGCAUCACUGGAGUUCGGCAGGGGAGACUGGAAUUCCUGGUGUAGCGGUGAAAUGCGUAGAUAUCUGGAGGAAUACCGGUGACGAAGGCGGCAUCCUGGACCGGCAUUGACGCUGAUGAGCGAAAGCUAGGGGAGCAAACGGG